CAAGAAUUAGUUUAUUAAAAUUUUAAUUUUGGAGAUUAAAGAUAAAAAAAAUUUUUUAUUCUUGA
rnacentral:tRNA from 1 species